UACGGAGGGGGCUAGCGUUGUUCGGAAUUACUGGGCGUAAAGCGCGCGUAGGCGGCUUUGUAAGUUAGAGGUGAAAGCCCGGAGCUUAACUCCGGAAUUGCCUUUAAGACUGCAUCGCUAGAAUUGUGGAGAGGUAAGUGGAAUUCCGAGUGUAGAGGUGAAAUUCGUAGAUAUUCGCAAGAACACCAGUGGCGAAGGCGGCCAACUGGUCCGGCACUGACGCUGAGGUGCGAAAGCGUGGGGAGCAAACAGG
rnacentral:rRNA from 1 species